AAUAAAAAAAAAUUAUUUAUUUUCAAUUCCCAAAAUGUCACUAUUUACAGUAUUGCCAUAAUAUACUUUACACACCAUUUAAAAUAUGUUCAGUAACCAUCAAUACAUAUCAAAAAAUUUACAAACUUAAAAGAAAAAAAAAUCAUCCAUGUUGAAGCCUUGAAUCUUGAGCAACUCUCCCAAACCUCACAUCCAGGGAAGGUGUGUGUAUCAGACUCUCAACAAUUUUCUUUAGCAUCUGCAUUCAUACACCAGACCUAAAUCAAUACCAAUAUACAAUAAGUUCAUAAAAAAUCUAAACUUAUUAGUUAUCAAAAAAAAAAAAAAAAAUUUAAACUUUAGCAAAAAAAUAGAUUAAAACUUUUCUAUUUCGACCAUUAUACUGAUUACGAAACCUAAAAGAUCCUAAUAUAAACCAACUUCAAAUUGCAAGAAUACUAUGUUAGAGGUUAGCAAAUGAAGUUAUACAUAAGAUAAUCAUGAUCAUAGUAGUGUGUAUUUUAAAGUGUAUCUAUCUUUUCAAUGUUAAAAAGAACAUAAUAAGAUAAGUACAUUUCUCACUCAAUGAGUAUACUAAUGAGCCAAUGGGUUCACUUCCAUAAAUGGAAAAUAAAAACAUUUGGUUGUCCAUCUUCAGUUCUAACAAUCUAAAUGGAGUUGUUCAACUUUCAGUUUUAACAAAAUGGAUACCAUGACAAGUUAUCAUCAACAACAGCACAACUGCACAAUGCUUAAAAAAGCGCUCUAUUCUUUUAAUGACAUAUUUGCACUUGUUAUAAUCUCUUGAUAACUACUUGCUUAUCCAACAAAAAAUAUUCAAUAAUUUGGUACCAUCAAACUCAGAAUAACGAAUAUAGUUUUUGUGCAUGCAAUCAGAAAAAAGAAACCUUACUAUUCCAUUCAUUAGCAAGAAGAGAUGCACAGAUUAGCAGGUAAACAAGACAACUUCAUAACAAAGUCUACGUAUAUAAGAAAAUGUGUGGUGUCUGUUACCUGCUAGAUUACACUAAGUUUUUUUAGGUGAUAUUUGAUGAAACAUGAAUCCAAAGUUGAUGUGUCAUAAGUUAAGGGAAAACACAAGCCAACAAAUGAAACAUGCAAAACAAUGAAGUUUAUAAACACAUGCAAAAAGAAAGUGAAAGACCUUUAUAAGAAAACAGUUUGCUCCUAUAUAAAAUUCAAUUGUAAAAGCAAAUAAAUCAUGAGUGGGAGUUCACCUGCAUUCUAUUUAUGACUCCACGAAUGAUUUUGGCGUGUAACCUGGGGUAAGGUGUUGCACUUAACAAUCAAUACAUUGAGUAAGAGAUAAAGAAUGCAUUUUGUUAAUGCUAAACAUGUAGGACUUAGCGAAAGACCUCAAAACUUGUAUUACGCCAACACGAAUUCAGCUGAAGCAUACACAUAAACUACUUGAAGCCCAAGAAUGCUAAACAAUUAUAAACCUACAAAUACAAGAUAUCACACUUCAGAUGAGGACUACCGAAUAAGAAGAAUAGAAGAAAUUUUAAAAAUAAUUACCACAGAAACUGUACCAGCCUAUAUGUUUCAUGUAGAGCAAAAUAAAGGUUGUCACGCACUUAAAUCUGGUCCUACAAAAGAAGAAAGCAUUAUAAAUGAGAACAAAACUAAUGAUUGAAGCAAUAAAAUGUAGUGCUUCUAUGUGCAACAUAAAGCUAAUAUCGAAGUCAUGACUCUAACCCUCUUACUCUAUAAUCUAUAUAGCUCUCUCUCUUUCUCUCUUCCAUUUCUUCGUUUGUCUUUGGUGUAAAUCUGUAAACAAAGUAAGAGAAAAGAAGAAAAAAAAAACGUAUCUGUGAACAGUAGUUUGAAUUGAAGAACAGAAUGUGAGUGAUAAAAAUAAAAGCAAGAAAUAUACGCAACACAUACAGAUUCUCAACCACGGCCUCCCAAUAUGCAUGCUCAGUACUCUAAUGCGGGUAUACCACCUGGUGCACACUACCUACAACACCAACAGAUAACACAACAGUCGCUCAUGACUGCUCAAUCAAAUAUGUUAUAUGGUCAACCAAUCACAAGGAUGCAGCAACAACAAGCAAUGCAUAACAAGCUUGGCAUGAGCUCUGGUGGUAACAGUGGACCAAUUUCGGGUGUAUAUUAUGUCACUGAAGCUAAUAUCAAAGUCAGCUGAUUUCAGAUUUCAUAGAUUGGUGUUUUGCAGACACCUUAUUAAAAAAAAUUAUUAA
rnacentral:lncRNA from 1 species